CCUACGGGAGGCAGCAGUGAGGAAUAUUGGUCAAUGGACGCAAGUCUGAACCAGCCAUGCCGCGUGCAGGAAGACGGCUCUAUGAGUUGUAAACUGCUUUUGUACGAGGGUAAACCCAGAUACGCGUAUCUGUCUGAAAGUAUCGUACGAAUAAGGAUCGGCUAACUCCGUGCCAGCAGCCGCGGUAAUACGGAGGAUUCAAGCGUUAUCCGGAUUUAUUGGGGUUAAAGGGUGCGUAGGCGGUUGGAUAAGUUAGAGGUGAAAUCCCGAGGCUCAACUCCGGCACUGCCUCUGAUACUGUUGGGCUAGAGUGUAGUUGCGGUAGGCGGAAUGUAUGGUGUAGCGGUGAAAUGCUUAGAGAUCAUACAGAACACCGAUUGCGAAGGCAGCUUACCAAACUACUACUGACGUUGAGGCACGAAAGCGUGGGGAGCAAACAGGAUUAGAUACCCCGGUAGUC
rnacentral:rRNA from 1 species